GACGAACGCUGGCGGCGUGCCUAACACAUGCAAGUCCAGGAGAAUUGGUUUCUUCGGAAUCCAUAGUAAACUGGCGAACGGGUGAGUAACACGUAAGUAACCUGCCCUAGGGACGGGGAUAACACUGCUAACGCGGUGCUAAUACCGGAUAAUGCAGCGGAUCCGCAUGGAUAUGUUGUUAAAGCUGGCCUCUUCAUGAAAGCUAGCACCUUAGGAUGGACUUGCGUCCCAUUAGUUGUUGGCGGGGUAACGGCCCACCAAGACUACGAUGGGUAGCCGGCCUGAGAGGGUGACCGGCCACACUGGGACUGAGAUACGGCCCAGACUCCUACGGGAGGCAG
rnacentral:rRNA from 1 species